GGACUAACAGGUUGGUCGCGCCUUUGGUGUGUACUGGUCUAGUUGGUUUCUCCCUUCUGACGAACCACGAUGUCAUUAAUUUGGUGUCGCGGGGAAUCAGGACUGUUACUUUGAAAAAAUUAGAGUGUUUAAAGCAGGCUCGCGCUUGAAUACAUUAGCAUGGAAUAAUGAAAUAGGACG
rnacentral:rRNA from 1 species